rnacentral:lncRNA from 1 species
UGUUAGGGAUGUUACCACCACCGCCACCCGAUGCAUCGGAUUGGGUAUGAUGGCACGUAUAGCUGUUGGGAGCUGACACUUUUUGGAGAUAGCCGACGCUCGUUGAUGGAGGGUGGUACAUGUUCGAUGUAGAAUCGAGUCCUUUUUGGGGGUGGUAGCCAAGUAUAGUUAAAAUCUUGGCCUUUUUGUUGUAUCGACCUUGAUGUCCAUCAUGAAAAUAUAAAUAAGAGUGAAU